rnacentral:rRNA from 1 species
GGGUUAGUAGGUUGGUCAUGCCUCUGGUAUGUACUGGUCUCACUGAUUCCUCCUUCCUGAUGAACCGUAAUGCCAUUAAUUUGGUGUUGCGGGGAAUUUGGACUGUUACUUUGAAAAUUAGAGUGUUUAAAGCAGGCUAACGCUUGAAUACAUUAGCAUGGAAUAAUGAAAUAGGACGUUCGAUCCUAUUUUGUUGGUUUCUAGGAUUGACGUAAUGAUUAAUAGGGAUAGUUGGG